rnacentral:rRNA from 1 species
AACGAACGCUGGCGGCAGGCCUAACACAUGCAAGUCGAGCGAGGACUUCGGUCCUAGCGGCGGACGGGUGAGUAACGCGUGGGAACGUGCCCUUUGCUUCGGAAUAGCCCUGGGAAACUGGGAGUAAUACCGGUUGAGCCCUUUGGGGGAAAGAUUUAUCGGCGAAGGAUCGGCCCGCGUUGGAUUAGGUAGUUGGUGGGGUAAUGGCCUACCAAGCCGACGAUCCAUAGCUGGUUUGAGAGGAUGAUCAGCCACACUGGGACUGAGACACGGCCCAGACUCCUACGGGAGGCAGCAGUGGGGAAUCUUAGACAAUGGGGGAAACCCUGAUCUAGCCAUGCCGCGUGAGCGAUGAAGGCCUUAGGGUUGUAAAGCUCUUUCAGCUGGGAAGAUAAUGACGGUACCAGCAGAAGAAGCCCCGGCUAACUCCGUG